rnacentral:lncRNA from 1 species
AUACUUGUGAGGAGAUCUGAUGGAUGGACGAACGGAAGAGCAGGGUCAGAAGUGGUGGCAAAAUUCAAGACCAGCUCACAAAAGCCCACGAGACAUAAAAUAGAGCACCAAGGCCGACAUGGACCGAGCCGGGAGCAGAGGGCCUCAGCAGGACGGGCACUGGGGGCUGAGGACCAGGGGCCUCCAGGUGGAGAGGGGUAGCGAUGGAAGAAGCAGGCGGCCACGGAGUAACAAAUACCUUCAGGAGCACGGGCUGCUCGUAACGAGGGAUGGAACCAGGGCCUUUUGCACUGAGCUGCAUUUCCAGCCUCCUCCCCCCC